rnacentral:lncRNA from 1 species
GCAAUGGCCUAUCUGAGGUGAUGUCGGGGAAGUAUAAGAUAUUACCGAAUAUCGUACUCUGGAUGACGGGAAGAUGAUGCGGCUUCACCACCGACGCGUAAGUCUUCCUGUACGCUCCGACGAAACACCGAGAAUUCACAAUGAAUCUACCGGCGGGGCCGCCGGCAACCGGCCGCGAAGGCGCCUUACGGCCAUCGGCAGACGAUGAAUCAGUAGAUUGCGACGACUUCGACGCCAUUGCAAGCAAUGUAGAUUUAGAUUGGUUGUGUAUUCGCCGAUGGGAUUCGAAGCGGACGAUGGUGGUUACAAAUAGAAAUGCGGUUGAUAGAGCAAUGACCGCCGUAAGGCGGUUUAGAGGCCUUAAAGGAUUAGAAUAGGGUAAUGGGUAGCAACAGGAGUUUGAAAGUUAGUGGGAUGCUAGUAUGGGCCAACCUUUUUACGAAACAGCGUAAGAGUCCAUACAAAACCUGACACAUUAGCACACCAAACACCCAACAGCGAGAAUGUGAAAGUUAGUGGCAUUAAAUGUAGCGACAGAUUCGUACAUUGACGUGAUCGUUAUACUCGAGUAAGUAGUGAAGAGGCACUGGCCGGUAAGAGAGGGGAAGAGACACCGGCGACACAUCAAAGUUUCCUCGGGAGAAUUCAUCCCGGAUUUAAUCCCUAUUUAAACUUCUUAUUGCACCAUUCUCAACAUACUGUUGAACGUGUAUUAUAAAAUAUAUGGACCAUCAUUAGCCAGUUCUAAAAAUUGUG